rnacentral:rRNA from 1 species
GAUGAACGCUGGCGGCAUGCCUAAUACAUGCAAGUCGAGCGAACGGACGAGAAGCUUGCGCCUCUGAUGUUAGCAGCGGACGGGUGAUGACCACGUGGUUAACCUACCUAUAAGACUGGGAUAACUUCACGAAACCGUAGCUAAUACCGGAUAAUAUUUUCAACCACAUGGUUCAACAUUGAAAUACGGUCUUGCUGACACUUAUACAUAGAUACGCACCGCAUUAGCUAUUUGGUAAGGUAACGGCUUACCACGGCAACGGUGCAUAGCCGACCUGAGAGGGUGAACGGCCAGGUUGGAGAUGAGGCACGGUCCCGACUGCUACGGGAGGCAGCAGUAGGGAAUCUGCGGCAAUGGGCGAAAGAAUGACGGAGCAACGCCGAGUGAGUGAUGAAGGUCUUCGGAGCGUAAAACUCUGUUAUUAGGGAAGAACAUAUGUGUAAGUAACUAUGCACAUCUUGACGGUACCUAAGCAGAAAGCCACGGCUAACUACGUG